ACGCAUAUCAAUAAGCGGAGGAAAAGAAACUAACAAGGAUUCCCCCAGUAACGGCGAGUGAAGCGGGAAGAGCUCAAGCUUAAAAUCUCCAUGUUUUACAUGGCGAAUUGUAGUCUAUUGAGGCUGUUGUCAGCAUAGCGAUUUGGGAUAAGUCCCUUGGAAAAGGGCAGCAUAGAGGGUGAUACUCCCGUCUUUGCUCAGAUUGUCUAUGUGUACGAUACGCUUUCUUUGAGUCGAGUUGUUUGGGAAUACAGCUCAAAGUAGGUGGUAAAUUCCAUCUAAAGCUAAAUAUUGGUGCGAGACCGAUAGCGAACAAGUACCGUGAGGGAAAGAUGAAAAGAACUUUGAAAAGAGAGUUAAAGAGUACCUGAAACUGUUGAAAGGGAACCGUAACAUGUCCAGUGUUGUAUCUUGUGCAUAUUUCAUUAGUGGAGUAAUUUACUGGUGCCCUGUGCAUGAGUGUGACGUCAAAGUCAGUUUGUAUGCUGCGGGAGAUGGUUAAUAAGGAGGUGCGUCACUUUUGUGUCAGUUAUACCUUGUUAUCUAGUAGCCGUGGUUGAGACUGAGGUGCCUACAACAUGCUUAUAAAGUAUAUUGUUGUCUCGUUAUUAUAUUUGUUUGGAUAGCUUGCUAUGCUAAUGAACUAUAGUGGCGAUUGAUGAUGGUAUGAACUUUUUGCUGUUCGGGACUUUGACGAAAUGGAAUGUUACGACCCGUCUUGAAACACGGACCCCUGUGUG
rnacentral:rRNA from 1 species